AGAGUUUGAUCAUGGCUCAGGAUGAACGCUAGCGGCAGGCUUAACACAUGCAAGUCGAGGGGUAACAGUCUUGAGCAAUCGAGAGCUGACGACCGGCGCACGGGUGAGUAACGCGUAUGCAACCUACCUUUAACUCGGAGAUAGCUCAGAGAAAUCUGAAUUAAUAUCCCAUAAUAGAAUAAUUGGCAUCUUUUAUUCUCAAAGUUCCGACGGUUAGAGAUGGGCAUGCGUGACAUUAGCUAGAUGGUGAGGUAACGGCUCACCAUGGCUACGAUGUCUAGGGGGCCUGAAAGGGUGAUCCCCCACACUGGUACUGAGACACGGACCAGACUCCUACGGGAGGCAGCAGUGAGGAAUAUUGGUCAAUGGGCGCAAGCCUGAACCAGCCAUGCCGCGUGGAGGAUGACGCAUUUCGGUGUGUAAACUCCUUUUCUGAAGGAAGAAUUCUGACGGUACUUCAGGAAUAAGCACCGGCUAACUCCGUGCCAGCAGCCGCGGUAAUACGGAGGGUGCAAGCGUUACUCGGAAUCACUGGGCGUAAAGGACGCGUAGGCUGGUUUGCAAGUCAGGGGUGAAAGCCUACAGCUUAACUGUAGAACUGCUCUUGAAACUGCUUACCUAGAGUAUGGGAGAGGUAGAUGGAAUUAGUGGUGUAGGGGUAAAAUCCGUAGAGAUCACUAGGAAUACCGACUGCGAAGGCGAUCUACUGGAACAUUACUGACGCUGAGGCGUGAAAGCGUGGGGAGCAAACAGGAUUAGAUA
rnacentral:rRNA from 1 species